rnacentral:rRNA from 2 species
CAUGGCUGUCGUCAGCUCGUGUCGUGAGAUGUUGGGUUAAGUCCCGCAACGAGCGCAACCCUUGUCAUUAGUUGCUACAUUCAGUUGGGCACUCUAAUGAGACUGCCGGUGACAAACCGGAGGAAGGUGGGGAUGACGUCAAGUCCUCAUGGCCCUUAUAGGUGGGGCUACACACGUCAUACAAUGGCUGGUACAGAGGGUUGCCAACCCGCGAGGGGGAGCCAAUCCCAUAAAGCCAGUCGUAGUCCGGAUCGCAGUCUGCAACUCGACUGCGUGAAGUCGGAAUCGCUAGUAAUCGCGGAUCA